CGGUAGCCUCCUCGCUGCCGUAGGCCAGCAGCAGCGCCUGAUGCUUCCCUCUGCACCACGCGGAAACAGGAGCCGCGAGGCGCUAAGAGGUGUCGAUGCGCUGCGGAGAACUGCACUGUCUCGGGAAGGAAGUCAAACCAAGAAAGCAGGAAAAGAUAAAAAGUGGAUGCCUGGCUAAUGAUCGUCCUAAAACAUAGAAGACUUCUCAGACGAAAACAGGAGCGCUUGAGUUCGAGUUUGGACGAUGCAGGGAGUUUGUGCCUGGAACAUAAAAAUCUAGGUGCCCAUCCAGGGCAAGUGGGAGCCUGCUAGAACAGUUCCGGGCCUGCUGGACGCAUCCCCAUGUACGAGCAGUGCUCUCCGGCCACUCCACCCCCAAUGAGACAAGAGGGACCCGCAGGCUGCAUAUCGGGGGCUUAUAUUGCCAUGAGGCCUCUUCGGGCGAUAUAUGCGACGCAUGGCCUGGAGAUGAGCUGGCCCUCAAGCAGGAUUUUGGCGUGAAGUCCCUGGGAGGUUGUCCCUGUCUAGCACACAAGCCUGAGGGUAUUGGAAGGAGAGGUGAAUCCCCUCGCACUGUUUCAGCCUGUUGGAUAUGCUGCUGUGCAUCAUUCAGUGUUGCAGGAAGCAGCUGAGAGCAGUCAAUAGCCCAGUGUCCAGUCAUGCCAAGACAGGAAUAGGAGGACUAGCUACUGAGAUUCCCUUGAGAGUGGAGAAAGAGGAAGAGAAUCCUGAUGGGAGGAUUAGCGCAAUCCCAAGAUCAUUAUAUGGGUACUGUAAUUGGGGAAACAGAAAGCUGACAGAAGAAAGAUUAAAGCUUUGUGAGAAAUAAAGGAUCUUUCCCAUCAUUCCUGAGUAAGAGGGUUGCAUUUCUUAUAGCAGUGUAUCCAUAAAUUUUUUGGUAUCAGCAGACUGCAAGGGGAGGUACUGGAAAGGAGUAACACAGCUGGAACAAGGGAAUGACACUGUUUUCCCUAAUCAGAUGAAAGGGGCGGUAAGCACGAUUUCCAAUAAACUAGGAGGAAGAGGCA
rnacentral:lncRNA from 1 species